AUUGAACGCUGGCGGCGUGCUUAACACAUGCAAGUCGCGUGCCGGCGCACGGGUGCGUAACACGUGGGCAAUCUGCCCUCCGAUGGGGAAUAACCCCGCGAAAGCGGGGCUAAUACCGCAUAUCGGAGGAGGAGCCCGCGCCCGAUUAGCUAGUUGGUAGGGUAACGGCCUACCAAGGCAAUGAUCGGUAGCUGGUCUGAGAGGAUGAUCAGCCACACUGGAACUGCGACACGGCCCAGACGCCUACGGGAGGCAGCAGUGGGGAAUCUGGCGCAAUGGGCGAAAGCCUGACGCAGCGACGCCGCGUGGGGGAUGAAGCUUUUCGGAGUGUAAACCCCGUUCGACUGGGAAGCGGUACCAGUAGAAGAAGCCCCGGCUAACUACGUGCCAGCAGCCGCGGUAAUAC
rnacentral:rRNA from 1 species